rnacentral:rRNA from 1 species
AUUGAACGCUGGCGGCAUGCCUUACACAUGCAAGUCGAACGGCAGCACGGACUUCGGUCUGGUGGCGAGUGGCGAACGGGUGAGUAAUAUAUCGGAACGUGCCCUGGAGUGGGGGAUAACGCAGCGAAAGCUGUGCUAAUACCGCAUACGAUCUAAGGAUGAAAGCGGGGGAUCGCAAGACCUCGCGCGAUUGGAGCGGCCGAUAUCAGAUUAGCUAGUUGGUGGGGUAAAGGCCCACCAAGGCAACGAUCCGUAGCUGGUCUGAGAGGACGACCAGACAGACUGGGACUGAGACACGGCCCAGACUCCUACGGGAGGCAGCAGUGGGGAAUUUUGGACAAUGGACGCAAGUCUGAUCCAGCCAUGCCGCGUGCGGGAAGAAGGCCUUCGGGUUGUAAACCGCUUUUGUCAGGGAAGAAAUCUUCUGGGCUAAUACCCUGGGAGGAUGACGGUACCUGAAGAAUAAGCACCGGCUAACUACGUGCCAGCAGCCGCGGUAACAC